rnacentral:rRNA from 1 species
GACGUAGGAUGCAAGCAUUGUCCGGAUUUAUUGGGCGUAAAGAGUUCGCAGGCGGUUUGUUAAGUCUAAUGUUAAAGAUCAGGGCUCAACCCUGGGACUGCAUUGGAUACUGGCAGACUGGAGUGUGGUAGAGGUAAGUGGAAUUUCUGGUGUAGCGGUGAAAUGCGUAGAUAUCAGGAAGAACACCAGUGGCGUAGGCGACUUACUGGGCCAUAACU